AUACGUAGGGUGCGAGCGUUGUCCGGAAUUACUGGGCGUAAAGAGCUCGUAGGUGGUUUGUCGCGUCGUCUGUGAAAUUCCGGGGCUUAACUCCGGGCGUGCAGGCGAUACGGGCAUAACUUGAGUACUGUAGGGGAGACUGGAAUUCCUGGGGUAGCGGUGAAAUGCGCAGAUAUCAGGAGGAACACCGGUGGCGAAGGCGGGUCUCUGGGCAGUAACUGACGCUGAGGAGCGAAAGCAUGGGUAGCGAACAGGAUCAGAUACCCUGGUAGUCCAUGCCGUAAACGGUGGGCGCUAGGUGUAGGGGUCUUCCACGACUUCUGUGCCGUAGCUAACGCAUUAAGCGCCCCGCCUGGGGAGUACGGCCGCAAGGCUAAAACUCAAAGGAAUUGACGGGG
rnacentral:rRNA from 1 species